CAGCAGCCGCGGUAAUACGUAGGUCCCGAGCGUUGUCCGGAUUUAUUGGGCGUAAAGCGAGCGCAGGCGGUUAGAUAAGUCUGAAGUUAAAGGCUGUGGCUUAACCAUAGUACGCUUUGGAAACUGUUUAACUUGAGUGCAAGAGGGGAGAGUGGAAUUCCAUGUGUAGCGGUGAAAUGCGUAGAUAUAUGGAGGAACACCGGUGGCGAAAGCGGUUCUCUGGCUUGUAACUGACGCUGAGGCUCGAAAGCGUGGGGAGCAAACAGGAUUAGAUACCCCCGUAGUCCCUGUCUCUUAUACA
rnacentral:rRNA from 1 species